UCAUCAUCAACAGACUGACCUUGGUCUGGCAUAAGCUUAUCACUUGAAUAUGGUUUUAUUUUUGAAUCAGUGCUUAUGCAAGAGUGCUCAGCAACGGUAACAUUUCUUUGUGGAGAAUGAGAUGGUGAAGCCACAUCUGAUUUGGACAUCUCACCAGCAGCCACAGCAGCAAGCAGGUUCAUUCCAACCUCGUCCCCAACAUCCAAUGAUGCAUUUACUUCAGAGUACUUGACACAACUUUCAAUCAAAGCAUUUAUGGAGCUGAAAGAACCCUCGUGCAACUUCCCAGAUUUAUGUUCAUUUCCAGAUGAUGAGGAAGCAGCUUUAGAAACUUCAGCUAAUUUCCUAGUUUCAUCACAGGUUCGACAGUUAUCUUCAUCAGGAACAGCAGCAGGAGAACCAUCUCCCUCAUCAGACCCAGUAAGCACCUCUUUGAAAUCAUUGCUUUGCCAUGACUCAGUCUUUACAUCAGCAAUAGUAUUUGCUCGAUAAACAUCACUCUUUUCCUUCACAUUACGAUCAAACUGGUCAUGCUUCUCAGAAAGCGCAGGAGAAGAAGCCCUGCUAUUCAUGACUGAAGGGUCCUCCAAUGAUCCUCCACUGGCAGUUCUUGCAGGACUGCGACCUCUAUUGGACAGUUUAACAAUCAAUUUGUGAUUAUUCCCCUCUGCCACAGGGACAUCAACCAUCUUCUCACAGGUCAAACUGGACUGUGGUACUUUUUCUGAACCCGGACUUCUCCGCAAGGAAGAAUUCCUGCUCGACCCAGUUUCCUUUUGAACCCCAGAUGAAGUUGGCCCAGGAAAGCCAUUCAUCGAUUUUCGAUACCGAGAAGAACUCCCAAUGAUCUUAUUUGCAGACAUUGAAACAGCAGUAGAGCUCCUUGCAUCCUCCUUCACUGAAUGCCCCCCAGCUUUGGCAUGGUC
rnacentral:misc_RNA from 1 species